UUCUUUAUAUAAAGCUUUUUGUGCUUGCCUUGAUAUUUCUCAGGUGUUCAGUCUUCAACACCAGGGACCAGGGUUUGAAACUGGUUUUCAACACCACUGUUAUAAUUUCCGGAGGUAACCCUGAUGUCAUCAUUGAGGCCUGGGAAAUGACCUAAUCAUGGCUGGAAAAAGGAAAUGU
rnacentral:lncRNA from 1 species